rnacentral:rRNA from 1 species
AUUGAACGCUGGCGGCAUGCUUUACACAUGCAAGUCGAACGGCAGCGGGGGCUUCGGCCCGCCGGCGAGUGGCGAACGGGUGAGUAAUGCAUCGGAACGUGCCCAGUCAUGGGGGAUAACUACGCGAAAGCGUAGCUAAUACCGCAUACGCCCUGAGGGGGAAAGUGGGGGAUCGCAAGACCUCACGUGAUUGGAGCGGCCGAUGUCAGAUUAGCUAGUUGGUGAGGUAAAGGCUCACCAAGGCGACGAUCUGUAGCGGGUCUGAGAGGAUGAUCCGCCACACUGGGACUGAGACACGGCCCAGACUCCUACGGGAGGCAGCAGUGGGGAAUUUUGGACAAUGGGCGAAAGCCUGAUCCAGCCAUGCCGCGUGAGUGAAGAAGGCCUUCGGGUUGUAAAGCUCUUUCGGACGGAAAGAAAUCGCGCGGGCUAAUAUCCCGCGUGGAUGACGGUACCGUAAGAAGAAGCACCGGCUAACUACGUGCCAGCAGCCGCCGUAA